GUGCAGAAACGGAGGGAGGGUGGAAGCGGGAGCUCGCGCCGGUUCUCAAACGCUGCACGCUCGAAAUUCCUCCAAGGAACCUCUGCGAGCUUUUUCUUUUUUCAUCACGCGCGGGCUAAAAAUAGAAACGGGGUUGGAUCGUGAUCCAGAAAUAGAUAGGGGGCAUCUCUCCUAUAAAAGGCUCACCAUUCAAGAGUACAGUGAGCAGUUUGGAGAGACGCAAAGCCAGAGCGCAUUUUAUGGAGAAUCUGGCGUUUUUUGCUCCUUUUUUUGUGGCACUUUUCUUGAUUUUUUUUUUUUUUUUUUUUUGGAGGAGGCUCCGCUGCUACCACGGUGAGUUGUGCAAACCUUUCUUUAGCUGCAUGCACCUGUUCCUAUUCCUCUUCUCUAAGGUUUUUGCGGUGCUUUGUGUGUCUGCUUUAAGGUUAGUUGAGUUGUGGUUGGUUUGAUAAAGGCUGUUAGGAACGCGAUGUCACGAGUGUUGGUGGAGGUUUUUAUGAAAGCAGCUCCAUGGGAAUCACCCUCAGAUUUGAUGAGGGGAGAAGGGUGGAUGUUGGGUGUAUUUGGUGUUUUAUUUCAAAGAGAUGGUUAAAGCAGUGGAAAGUGGAGAGUUGUGGCUGAUUUUGGAGUUGAUUUGAGCGAGAGGGGAGCUGUCCUCCGGCUGUGGUGCUGAAGUCUUGUAACACUGGCUUGGCUAAAGCUAUUGCACGGAGCAUCCUGAGAGCAUUUCUGUCAAGUUUCAUGCACUAGACUCAACAUAAAAGGCUUUGUGCUUAAAGGAUGGAGGACUCCAGAUCAAGCGUCUCCUCACAUUUCGAUGGUUUUCCUGCAGAAGCUGAGCGCUCCGAGCAGCUCGCCCCCCCUCAGAUGCAGCGCUACCUUUUGACAAUUUCAUCCUUGUUUGCAGAAUUUUUUUUCCUCCCUUUUGUGCGCGAGGAGACUCGAGUCGUGACUGCUAAAAGUGAGUAAGGCGCGUGCUGCGUCAGUGGCGUCUGGCUCCGGUGCGCUCGAGACAGAUGGGGGGAAUCGUGACCGGCUGGGAGACGCGUCCACGAAUGAAAGGCUGCACGGCCCAAUGAAAACGGAGCGAGGGUGGGGCCCCUGCUCCGGCAGCUGGAGCUCUGGAGCCAAUUUAACCCUUUGCAAAUGACGGAAACUUUACUAUUAAUGACUCCAGACGCACUGAUGGUGAUUUUUCGGUUCUGAAUGAUCCAAAAACAAGAAACGACCCAAAAGAACACGAUGUUUCCUUGUGCAUUUUCACCUGCUGUUGGUUCUGGUUGGCUUUAAUGUCACACUGGAGUCAAGAGAAGAUGUUGAAGUGAUGAAACUGUCAGGUGCUCUGGCCUCCUGCUAAGGUGCUCUUUUCCUUUGCAUCUCUAUUGGUGGAUGAUGAUUCGCUCCGACCAAUGAAAUCGCUCACAUCCCUCUGCUGUGUGUGUCUAUAACAGCGAUGAGACCCCGCCCCUCCUCACCGCCGCUCUUUUUAAUAACAAGGCUGCGUGUUGCUGCAAAGCUAUGCCAAUCCAGUGGGCUUACAGUUUUGGUAUCUUUGGCGAAUUGAGAAUCAGAAUAAGAAAGUCAUUUGUGCGCAAAAACAAAUCCUCAUGCGCGAACUGUUUGUCUGAAAACACUCAGAGGAUGGAGACCCCAGAAGAGUCCGUGGACAGGAGUGGAUUCUGGAUUUGUGGAGCUGGAGAAAUCGUCCGUCACGAAUCUUUUUGCGGUCUGGGCUUGCUGUGCAGACAUGAAUCUGGGAAGCCCUUACCCCAAAAAGACUUUGUGUUGGAUAUGAACGUCGUUCCCAACCUCAGUGGUCUGGACUCCCCAAAGUGUGACCCGUGCUUUCAACACACACACACCUGAUGAGAACCCAGCUGAUUCUCGCGUAUUUGAAUGGACUUGAAUCAUGAAGUGAGUGAGGCCACAGGUCAAGAAGGAAAACUCAAGAUACUGAAAGUGUUGUCCUGCACCUCUGGACACACAGGAUUACACAAUAUCCCCUCACACAGCAGCAGCGUUACACCUAUUCAGCAGUCUUAGCUGUUGUGCUCCUGAUGUGCCUAAUUAUGCACAAUGUUUGCUUCUAUUGUGCUAUAAAUAAACAUGUUUGAAAGAGGCAGAGAUGUGGAGGAUUUUUCAUAGCACAGCAGAAAUGUAUGCAGAGUAAGUUUUAUUGAUUAAUUAUUCUGCAUCAAAAUUACAUCACCAUCAUAUUUGUGCUCAAUGUGUGUCAUGCUUUCUUAUCUGAUCUUUAUUCAGUGACAGAUCCUCAAAAUGCAGCAGUUUGGGUCUUUGAAAGCGUGCAGAUGGAGACGUAGAAAUGUUUUUUUUUUCUUUUUGGGAAGAAGCGUGAGAUGUUUUGGUUCUUGUGUUUCUGCUGAGUGAACAUGUGGGACGUAGACUGAAUGUGAGACAGGCAGUCAAGGAGGAAACAAUGAAUCAGCUGUGAGGGUUUGCUUUUACUCAAAGUUAAUUAGGCGUUAAACAUCAAAACAGCUCCUCAGUUAAGUCACAAAUCUUUAUUAAUUGAAAUCUAAAGCUUUAAACAGGAAUUUUACAUUUUCUGCAUAGAUGCCAAAGAUUUGAGAGGUCAAAAAAAUCAGUGGGGAAACCUGAAAUGCUCCUACGUCACUGUCGAAUACAUCCUCUCUUUAUUUCAUUUCUACUACAUUUGGUGUAUGUAAUGUUUCUAAUGUUGUUUCCUGUUUGUCUUCUAACUCGGUGCACACGCUGCUGCAAAUGUGUAAAGAUUACUCAGCAUUCCCUCCAAUUCAAAUGCUUCACAGUAAUAAAAAAGGAGUGUUUUUUUUGUGAAAUUGUCUUAAAUUUCUCACAUUUUUUCUCUGUUUUGUCUCUACCUUUAAACUUGCAGGUCAUCUCCAUCACUCACAAACACUUAUUAUGCCAGGAGAAGGCUGUCGUGACCAGCCCACAGCGAGGUCAGCAGGUGGAGAGUGAGCAAAGGGAAAGGGAAGUAAACAAUCAUUUUCAUCGUUUUACAUUUCUUUUAACACGCUUCUGCAUCACAGAUUCUACUCAUUUGUUACAUGUUUGUAUUUUAUUACAAUAUUACUGUGUUUAAAUGAUUUUUUUUUCCACUUUUUGUCUAUUUUCUCUUUUAACUCAUCUUUUCAUAUCACGAGUAUACAAAAGGAGUUCAAGUAUUCUGCUUUAAAGGUUAAUAAGCUUUGCAUCUGCAAACAAAAAAAAAGUUCAUUUACCAAACCAAUGUACAAGUACCACAAAUUUCCACAUCAAAUGUAUGGGAGAUUUUUUUUUGUAAUCGGUCCCAACUCCAAAAGAGUCACAAUAUGACUUUGCAUAUGCUGACAUAUGUUUAUAAAUAUUUACUUCACCAUUAUUCUUGUAAUCCUGGCCGUGUGAAAAUCCCCUGAAUAUUAAAAGUUUAAUAUUGAUUAAAACAUAAACUGAGGUGAAUAAAGACACACUGGAUAUAUUUACAAACAUUUUCUGACAGUUUUACUUCCAUCAUACGCUUUUAAAUCUAUACCAUAAAACAAUUUAAUAAGAGUAACGUCAUACAGGGGCUCUGGAUCAGGGGACACCACCCUAAGCUGCAGCAGUCCCUCAGCUCACACAAUGAGAGAGCUCUUAGUUUAAGAGGUGAUGAAGUGUUUAAGCUUCCCUCUCCCCCUGCCUUCACUCCUGAACAUCUUUUAAUCAGCUCACCUGCUUAAAGGAGAAGUAAUGACAAUUACUCAACCCCAGAUAACACACACAGUGCAAUCUGACUGAGCUCCAUACAGUUGUGUGAUGUACGAGGGUUGAUGACAGCGAUGAUGAAUGACAAACACAAGAAAAACAUACUCUGACGCAAACAUUCAAAACCUGUCUAUAAUACAAUACCAGAGGACAAAGAGACUGGGCAACAGUGAUAUGACCUGUGUGUGUAUGUGUGUGUGAUUUAAUCUUUGAAAUGUCACACUGCCAUGUUUUUGUGUUUGAAUUAUCUUGUUUACCAUGAAUUUGAAGGGGAUUUCCUGCAUCAAAAUCAUCAACUGUUUCUCAUUUAGAUGACAUAUCAUGUGUUGUAUGUGUUUGAAUGAACAGCGAAUAAUGACUGUAACUGUAUGUAGAAACAGCAUCUCUUAUUUUCCCAUUGUCUUCUGUAGUGAUAACUCUCUGCCACAGACAUUUAAUCACUGUUUAUGAUGCUUUUUUGCAAAACACAGAGAGAAAAUGUAUAUCUGUACGUGUGCAUGAUUGUCAGUUACGUUUGUAGGUGUGUGUGUGUGUGUGUGUGUGUGUGUGUGUGUGUGUGUGUGUGUGUGUGUGUGUGUGUGUGUGUAUGUUGAUGUUACAUAGAAUUAUUUUCAAUGAAUAAUCCAAUAAUAACCCCUGAAAACAUACUAUAUAUUAUUCAUUCAUAUCUAUAAUAUUGAGCCAGUGUUACACCUCUUUAUAUAAUAAAUGAUUGUCCAAUCUAUAUGAUUACUUUGUUGAAAUUUCACAGAGAGACGUUGGAGUGUAAAUGUCACCAAGCACCUGCAAGCCACACAAACAUUUUCUGCUCCUGCAGUUUUUUCAUGAGUGAAAAAUAAAGUCAUCAAGCAUCCUGCACCAAAACCAGCUGAUCCUUUACGUUAAAGUUUCAUACACAUACACACAGAAAUCAGCCACUAAACAUAAACUUAACUGAAAACUGUAUCAUUUUUACUCCCGGUAUAUGUACAAAGGAAAUAUUAAUCUAUCAUUAACUGGAAUAUGAUCAGAUGCACAUCAGCUUCACAGGCUUAAAAAGCAAGUGUUUGAAAUUGUUGUGAUCAUGGAGUCACAUUUGGUUUGUCCUUUAAAUGUGUGUCUGUGUGCUUUAUUUCCUCUUCUACACAUGUGCUUCUUGUCUGUGAGGUCAAUCAAAUUAAUUCAAAGUCAUUAUAUUUGGUCUCAAAUUUUUUUCUCUUUUUGUAAAGUCUCCAAACCCACACAGCUUCAUUUUCAUUCCUGUCCUCACAAUGACUGAAAUUUUACUGCAAAUUCAUCGUAUUUUGAACAUUUUCCUUUUUAAGUGUCUGCCUUUGCGUGAGUAUUUUUGUCUCAGAUGGUAAGUAAUGUUUUGAGAUGAAUGAUUUUGUUGACUAUGAAUAUAUCAGGUGUUUAAUAAAGAUAUUUGAAAUCUUCACUGAAGUGUCCUUAUUGAUUCUGCAUGUGCUGUUUAUGCUUAAAAUACUGUCAUUGUUUAUCUUAGACAUGCAUUACAAUACUGGGAAAUAAAUAAAAAGAAUAUACAUGGAGGCUGUCUGGUGUGUGAGUGUGAGUGUGAAUGUGUGUGUGAGGUAAUCAACAGACUUCAUAAGACCCACAAUAAAUCAACUUUUUUUUCUUCUAAAUGCACAAAUAACUGAAAUAAAUAAUUUCACUGGACCAAGUGCUCUGCUCAGGCUGUUCAUCUAACAUGUGUGUGUGUGGAUAGGUGCGUGUCUUAGCCACUAGUAAAAAAAUUAUUCUCCCCUCAUCUAACUGUGAGUGUCUUCAAUGUUCUGCUGUUUCUUUGUCUUUCUCGGCCUUUGUUUUUAUGAACAAGGUCAGUUUUUUUGUCAAUGAAAUGAAGAAAAAAAAAACACUGAAGGAGCUGUCCGUCAACAUGAGGUGCUGAAUUGCUGUCUGACGCUCAAGAUGAUGUGUGACUAAAAAUAAACUGUCAAUUUAGCCAAAGUUUGUAAAUGUUUUUCACAA
rnacentral:lncRNA from 1 species